UACGAAGGGGGCUAGCGUUGCUCGGAAUCACUGGGCGUAAAGCGCACGUAGGCGGAUCGUUAAGUCGGAGGUGAAAUCCUGGAGCUCAACUCCAGAACUGCCUUCGAUACUGGCGAUCUUGGAGUCCGGGAGAGGUGAGUGGAACUCCGAGUGUAGAGGUGAAAUUCGUAGAUAUUCGCAAGAACACCAGUGGCGAAGGCGGCUCACUGGUCCGGUACUGACGCUGAGGUGCGAAAGCGUGGGGAGCAAACAGG
rnacentral:rRNA from 1 species